ensembl:lncRNA
AUGUGUCAAGCGUUUAUUAGCACAUGGAAAUAAGCUUCAGGUCUGUUUUAGGUCUGCUUCAGGUCAGCUUUAAGUCUGCUUCAGGUCUGCUUUAAGUCUGUUUUAGGUCUGCUUCAGGUCAGCUUUAAGUCUGCUUCAGGUCAUCUUCAUGUCUACUUUAAGUCUGUUUCAGGUCUGCUUUCGGUCUGGUUUAGGUCUGUUUUAGGUCUGCUUCAGGUCAGCUUUAGUUCUGCUUCAGGUCUGCUUCAGGUCUGCUUCAGGUCUGCUUCAGGUCUGGUUUAGGUCUGCUUCAGGUCUUCUUCAGGUCUGCUUUAAGUCUGCUUCAUGUCAGCUUUAGUUCUGCUUCAGGUCUGCUUCAGGUCUGCUUCAGGUCUGCUUCAGGUCUGCCGUCUCUGCAGGAGAACAGUGAGCUGAAGUUCACGUGUCGGGCUCAAACACGUGGGCUCCUCCGCUGUUAAAGAUCUUGACUCGUCUCCUGCGCAGGACCCGGGUGCCCCUGGGCGUACCGGGCCGCGUCAGGGCCGGCGAGCCCCCCCCGCCCCCCUCCGCCCCCUC